AUUAAAGGGAUAGUUCACCCAUUUAGAACCGGCGUUCUAUCAUUAUAAAAUCGCUAUUGUAAUGUAAAUUAAUAUAUAAAAAAAUAUCAGUCUAAACCAGUCUCCCCUUGGCCCAUUUUUUCUCAUCUAAUUUUCUCCCGAAAUGACGUCAAAUGACGCGUUUGACGUCAUUUCGGGAGAAACCUCUCUUCCCGCUAGAAGGGCCGAGGACUACAACACACUUUUGGUGGCAAAUUUGCUGGACAUUUUUCCACCAAUAAGGAAUGAGAGGGGGCGGGAGCUUGCACGCUUGCACGCUCAGCUCGCGUACUGAGGGGGAAUGAGAGGGACGGGAGACCGACACAAACCUCUGACCAUGGCAGAAGCAACAGCUGAGUUUGAAAAUAUAUUGCUGCAUUGUGAUAUUCAGGGCUAUUUGUAUGAGCCAGAAUACAGCGAGGAAGAACUGAGACGAUUAGAGGAGGAGGCUGCUGCGGCUGCAGCUGAACAAGCCUUGCCUGUUGCAGAGGAGCCGGAUCGCGCCGGAGUGAACUGGUGGUGUACCUGUUUGCUCUGUUCACCUAUGGAGACUCACAAAGAGUCCCUGUGCUGCAGCAAAUUUCAGCGAUGCCAGUUUCUUCGCGAUGAAAUGGCUGAAUCUGGCGAGGAAGGGGCCGUGUGUGUAACAUCUCACCCAGGCUUUACGCCUCAUCUGAACCGUUGGGUAUUGGACACUUAUUUCCGGACCCAGAAAGUCAACUGGAAACGCCAGCCAAAGCCCGCCGGGAGAAACGGACGUCUGAGCACAGAUAUAGGCUAACAUCUUACCGGCAUUUCCUGCAGUGGAUACUGCAAGGUGAGAGACUUGGGAGAGGCAAUCGCCUUGUUUUGCCAGCGUGUGUUGUCCAGGCCAUCAGGGCUAAUUACCCAACACAAGAUGGGCAGUACCGUGGCUACCAGGAGACGGUAGAUGCCCAAGAUGAGCUGUGAUAUUUAGCAAACUCUCCAUACGUUUUGUUUUUGUAUAUAGUUUAUAUUUUAUGAAUAAAACUUCAAAUUCAUGUUGGUUGUUGUGAUUUGUUUACUAUACCAAAUGAUGUUACACUAAAGUAGGCCUGCUGUAUAAGAUGAACACUUAUUUCAA